rnacentral:rRNA from 1 species
AACGAACGCUGGCGGCAUGCUUAACACAUGCGAGUCGAACGAAGUAGUUUACUACUUAGUGGCAGACGGGUGAGUAACGCGUGGGAGCAUACCUUUUGGUUCGGAAUAACUACGGGAAACUGUAGCUAAUACCGGAUAAGCCCUUAGGGGGAAAGAUUUAUUGCCGAAAGAGUGGCCCGCGUUAGAUUAGGUAGUUGGUGGGGUAAAGGCCUACCAAGCCUGUGAUCUAUAGCUGGUCUGAGAGGAUGACCAGCCACACUGGGACUGAGACACGGCCCAGACUCCUACGGGAGGCAGCAGUGGGGAAUAUUGGACAAUGGGGGCAACCCUGAUCCAGCAAUGCCGCGUGAGUGAAGAAGGCCUUCGGGUUGUAAAGCUCUUUUGGCAGGGACGAUAAUGACGGUACCUGCAGAAUAAGCCCCGGCAAACUUCGUGCCAGCCGCCGCGGUAA